rnacentral:lncRNA from 1 species
GAUUCGUCAGGCUGUCUCUCGCCUCCGCCGUGAUGCUUUUUUCUUGCAUGUCUCUAAUUCAUAAUUAAUCUUAAUCGUAUUUGUAUAUAUCUAGGUUAACGGUAUCUGCCACAAACCGGUCGGGUGUCUUUAGAUUAUUUAUUUAUUUAUUUAUAUGGGUUUCUGCAAUUCGAGGUUGGACUUGGUCAUCAGGCACGUUCCGGCACCGAACAUGCAGCUCGGAGAUCUUAGAUUAAGAGAGCCCCGCUGGCGUAGUUGACUUUUAAAAUGGACCCUGGUCGAUGUAAUCUUAGUAUAUCUUACUUGAUCAAGG